GUGGAGUGUGUUGUAUUUUCUCAGCUCUCUUACUUAGCCAUUUUCAUCAUUCUGGUAUGCAUGACAGAGAGCAAAAGCUUGAAAGAGGAUCCACUCAACUUUAACGUGCUCAGCAUCACCCUCGAAGUCAUAAGUGCUUAUGGGAACGUAGGGUUCUCCAUGGGAUACAGCUGCGCAAGGCAGUUGAAAGGAGAUGGUAGCUGCAAAGAUUCAUGGGUUGGAUUUUCUGGAAGAUGGAGCAACAAAGGAAAGUUCAUCCUUAUAUUGGUCAUGUUCUUUGGGAGGCUCAAGAAGUUCAACAUG
rnacentral:sRNA from 1 species